GCCCACCCCGAACCAAUGAUAUCUCAGUUGGUAGAGCGUGAGAACCUUAAUCUCAGGAUCAUGGAUUCGUGCCCCAGAUUGGGCA